CCUACGUGUGGCAGCAGUGGGGAAUAUUGCUCAAUGGGGGAAACCCUGAUGCAGCGACGCCGCGUGAGUGAAGACGUAUUUCGGUAUUUAAAGCUCUAUCAGCAGGGAAGCAAAUUACGGUACCUGAUUAUGAAGCUCCGGCUAACUACGUGCCAGCAGCCGCAGUAAUACGUCGGGGGCAAGCGUUAUCCGGAUUUACUGGGUGUAAAGGGAGCUUAUACGGGUGCACAAGUCCGGAGUGAAAUGCCGGGGCUUAACCCCGGCAUUGCUUUGGAAACUGUGCAGCUGGAGUGCAGGGGAGGUAAGUGGAAUUCCUGGUGUAGCGGUGAAAUGCGUAGAUAUUAGGAGGAACACCAGUGGCGAAGGCAGCUUAUUGGACUGUAACUGACGUUGAGGCUCGAAAGCGUGGGGAGCAAACAGGAUUAGAUACCCGAGUAGUC
rnacentral:rRNA from 1 species